CCCGCUGAACUUAAGCAUAUUAAUAAGCGGAGGAAAAGAAACUAACAAGGAUUCCCCUAGUAACGGCGAGUGAAGCGGGAAGUGCUCAAGCUGAGAAUCGGCCAUCCAAGCGGGUGGACUCACCGAGUUGUAAUCUCACGACACUUAUGACCAGUAGCGCCCUGGGUAGAAGUUUUUUGGAACAAAACAUCAGAGAGGGUGAGAAUCCCGUCUUGUGACCCGGAGUGAACAUUUGUGUGCUGCGUACGGUCGGUGUUCUACGAGUCGAGUUGUUUGGGACUGCAGCUCCAAUGGGGUGGUAAAUUUCAUCUAAAGCUAAAUACCUGCGAGAGACCGAUAGCGAACAAGUACCGUGAGGGAAAGAUGAAAAGAACUUUGAAAAGAGAGUUAAAAAGUACUUGAAAUUGUUAAGAGGGAAGCGAUGGCAACCAGUCCAAUGAAUUUCGGCCUCUGGCUUUCCUAAGCAUUUCCCUGGGUGGUGCCUGUCGGUGGACGGGGUUCUUUGUGUUCAGGGUGGAGUUGGGGGCAGGCUAGGUUUCGGCCCGGCUUGUUUCUUGGUUCUUCUCUCCAGAGUCUCUGUUAGCUGGCACAUUGUGGCAUAUCAGGAGGUGCGUCUGGAGCUGUGAGUAGCUGGUUAGCAUCAGUUUUUCAUUAUCAAAAGGCGAAAAAAAGUUGAAUGAGAGGUAGGGCGCGUAGCUCUCGGGUUACGAUACUCCUGUUAUACUCACUCAAAGUGAUUUCGUCAGAGAAAGACUGAGGACGAGUGCUCGAAUGGAUCGACACGAAGAAUGGUGUAUACUUUGACCUGGCCCCUUACUGGCCAUCUUGUCCUUUUUCCGGCUCGUCCGGAGAUAGGAGUCUGGGAGACAGCAAAGCUUGUGACCUGGCGGAUGGCUUGGUACUUGGCAGGAAAAAACCAGGCGGUGAUACAUAUUUGAGAUGCUAACGAAAUGGUUUUCAUCGACCCGUCUUGAAACACGG
rnacentral:rRNA from 1 species